CCCAGGGGUAACCCCCUUCAUGAUCUAUAUAAAAGGCUGCCCUUUAUUCAGAAAAAUAAAAUUUACUCUGCCGUAUUUGAUGUGCAAAACUUCGACGCAAAUUAGGAUAUAUUAAUCUGAAAGUUUUUAACGUUUUUUCCACAGACGAAAUUAUCGUUUGUCUCUUGUCUGUCGAAUUCGCAGAAGCUGAACCCAAGCGUUUCGUUCUAUGAACACGGGCAAACAGUUCUUAUAAGUUAAAAAGGAGGGGGAGCCACUAUGUCAUCGAGUUGUGUAAGUAAGUCCGUAACAAUAUAGAUAAACUUCGGAACCAAUCACGGCUUAAAUAAUAUAAUCUCCCUCUUACCGAAGAGUAAGCGAUGCGACACGAAGAGAUGACGACAAAUGGAACCUCGUAGUUGCUUGGUCGAUAGUAUAGUGUAGAUUAUUUAAGACAAGCCGAUGUUCACGCCGAGAUCAUUCAUCUAACAAGAGAGCGGAAACAAACAUGGCUGACCUCAGCAGUCAAUCUGCAGAUAAAAUAUAUCAGCCUCUUUGGAGGAUAAUUGAGCCUCUUCGGAGGGUAAUUCAACUCCACACUGGGAUUGAUAGUAUUAUGUAUAUAGUAUAGUAUUAUGUCCAAAACACUGUAUUGAAUGCGUGUUGUGGUUUAUUGUCUGCACCAAAACGUUAAUGAAAGUUUGAAAACGUUAAUUAACCCUCGCAAACAUAUUCAUGAUUGUCAAAUUCAAUGCUAAAUUUCUUAAUGAACGUUCCA